CAUCGCCUCCUGCCCCGCUCCCCGCUUCCCGCUCCCACCCAACUCCGCCGCCGCCUCCACCUCCACCCCCACCUUGAAGCGCCGCCGCCGCCAAGCACCGCAUCACCGGCCACCGGAGUCUUCCCCAUCCAUCGCGGAUCCUCUUCAUCGCAGCUGCUGGUCGCGGAUCGAGCUCCCCAUCCGUUGCCAAGUUCUCCAUGCACGGCCUCCCCCUUCUCCUCCCCAUCCGGUCGGUGGAUUCGACGAGGAUUUGAUUCGAGGGAGCGAAAGACAAGGCGCGGAUUCCCCAACCGGCGACCUCUCCUCCGCCCUCCCCACCUUCUCGAGCAGGUCAGCCGGCGCCCAGCAUCCGCGCCGUCACCCACAGCCACGCGCCGGCAGACGAAGCAGCCGACGACAUGUUUGGUAGGAGCGCAGGUGCACGACGUGCGGUUCCUCUUCCACUCCGAUUCCUCCCCUCCACUCCGGUGGCCAUGAUUCUGCAUCCUCCCCUCCGGUGGCCCCUGGUUCAGCAGCAGCACCUACCUCACCUUCCUGUCGUGUGGCACAGCAGCGGAUGUCGAUGGAGAUGACUCUCGGAGCAGAGCAGUACACCCACCGCUCUAGCACCUUUUUCUGCUAUGACCAGCCCGUCACCGCCGUCAGCAUCAAGGUUACCAAUGCAUUAUUACUUCACUGGAUCUAUGUUUUCUUCCCUUGGUAGCGGCACUAUUCUUGUAAUAUGUACAUUAGCUCUACUAAAUUAAUUUUUGAACCUUGAAUGAAGUGCUAUCGUAGCCUAGCCACCAAGAGGUAUAAAUAAAUACCUUUCUUCUCUUAACUUGUGAAUGUAUCAAGGUUAUUAACCUAGUUGCCGCAUUAGGUUUUAUGUAUAGCUGGGUGAUGCCUCGUUUUGCUCUUAUGUUGUAGUGGCAUACUACAAAGGGGUGCAAGGGAUCAUUAUGGCUAAUUUUUUUGGGCUUGUUACAACUUUUGAGUCUGUUGUAUCUGGCUCUGGAUAAGGCCCAGUUCUUUUGAGGUAUGCUGUGGAAAUAAGCUGCUGUGGAAAUAAGCUCAAGAUAAGCUGCUGUGGAAAUAAGCUCAGGAUAAUAAGCUAGCCAGUUCUUUUCAGUGCCUGUUUUUUCAGCUUCUGUGUGGUAUGGUCAGUGAAAAGUCUGUAAUGCCCUUGGACUGUACUGUUGUUCGGAUUAAAUGAUAUUGCGCUAUUUUUAUCA